CUUUACAAUGCACGAAAGUGUGAUAAGGCAACUCCUUGUGCUUAUCCAAAAGAUAGGCUUUUUUAGUAUGUAAUGUAUACUAAGAAUAAAGUGAUGGGCGAAGAACCGGUGGCCAGCAGCCGCGGUAAUACCGGCGUCACAAGUGGAGAUCACGAUUACUGGGUCUAAAGUAGUUCGUAGCUGGUCAUAUAAGUCUCUUGUGAAAGUUCUGUAGCUUAACUCAGAAUUGCAAGAGAUACUGUAUGACUUGUAGACCGGAA
rnacentral:rRNA from 1 species